rnacentral:rRNA from 1 species
GGGUGCGAUCAUUUCAGCACUAAUGCAUCGGAUUCCAUCGAAACUUCGAAGUUAAGAGCUUGAGCGAGAAUAGUUCUAAGAUGGGUUUGUCUUAUGACUUUCAUAGAUUCAGGCU